UUCCCAGGGAUGGGAAUCGAACCCACAGUAUUCCGCUCACUGGGCAGAUGCCAUGUCCACUAGGCUACCCUGGA